rnacentral:rRNA from 1 species
UGGGGAAUCUUCCGCAAUGGACGAAAGUCUGACGGAGCAACGCCGCGUGAGUGAUGACGGCCUUCGGGUUGUAAAGCUCUGUUAAUCGGGACGAAAGGCCUUCUUGCGAAUAGUUAGAAGGAUUGACGGUACCGGAAUAGAAAGCCACGGCUAACUACGUGCCAGCAGCCGCGGUAAUACGUAGGUGGCAAGCGUUGUCCGGAAUUAUUGGGCGUAAAGCGCGCGCAGGCGGAUUGGUCAGUCUGUCUUAAAAGUUCGGGGCUUAACCCCGUGAUGGGAUGGAAACUGCCAAUCUAGAGUAUCGGAGAGGAAAGUGGAAUUCCUAGUGUAGCGGUGAAAUGCGUAGAUAUUAGGAAGAACACCAGUGGCGAAGGCGACUUUCUGGACGAAAACUGACGCUGAGGCGCGAAAGCCAGGGGAGCGAACGGGAUUAGAUACCCCGGUAGUCCUGGCCGUAAACGAUGGGUACUAGGUGUAGGAGGUAUCGACCCCUUCUGUGCCGGAGCUAACGCAAUAAGUACCCCGCCUGGGGAGUACGACCGCAAGGUUG